GAGGCGGGCGGGGUUCCAGCGCGCAGCCGGCCGCCCUCAACCGCUCCCAGCAUCGGUUGCCGGUGGUUCGGGGCAGGGAGACGACGCAGCGCGAGCGGAAAGGGCGGUUACCCAACGGCCUUAGCUCUCAUGGCGUCCUCCGUGGUGUUACCUAAAAAUAAAGUUAUUUGUGAUUAGAAGGUAAUCGCCUCCUGGUCAUGCUUCCGCUGGUCAACAGUGUCUGCGGGGCGACCCCAUCCUUGUGGCCAGAGAGGGCCUGUGGCUGCGCUCAAGGCGGGAGCGGUCCUUAGCGGGGCCCUGCGGGACGCCCAGGCCGCGCUCCUUUCCCUUGCUCGCCUGGCCUUGAAGUGAAGGGGGAGGUUUAACAAUGCAGUGGGAACCCCAAAGUUUGUCUCGGCCGUGCUGCUCACAUUCCAAACAAUGCAAAAGGUUGAGGAAAACCUCAGCAGUUGAAACCGUGAUGCAUUUCAGCAAAGAAGUAGCUCCUGUCCUCGUAAAAUCAGUGAAGUUCUCACGGACGACCUCAUUGAAAGUUUUCAUGGGCUGAGCUGCUGACUUCAGCCUGGGAACUGAGGCCAACAUCGGAGUCUCCUCGGCACACAAGUUUGAAAGAAGUCCUAGUGACUUCAAGCUCAGAACCAUGGACGGCAGGGCUCCCUCUGGAUGUGGAAUUCUCCGUCCCUUUCCAGGGAGGGAACAAAGCCCACAAGCACCGAGACUCCUUCAGGGUGAGCAAAGGCCUGGAAAAACCUGUAUGCAGAUAAAGAAAAGGAAAGAAAGAGAUAAUCAGUGCAUGCAGUUGUCAGCUGGCUGGGACCUGAGGAGAGUCACUUGUGGAGGCAACUGGUCUUUAUCCCCAUUGUCCGGUACAAGGCAGGCAUUAAUCCUGUGAUCCUUAUCUGAAGCUCAGGUUUGAUUUUAUUCUUUUCUUAAGUACCUACUGUUAUCCCCAAGCUUAUAAUAAUAGUUUAAUUGUUACAGCCAGUAUCUCACCUUCAGAAGUAAGAUGCUUAGGAAACCAAGACAAGGAACUGUGUGUUGCAAACAGCAUCACCCUGGAGAAGAGGUGGCAGGAGGUGACCUACAGAAAAUGGAGUAAUAGCCUAGAGCAAGAAACACAGAACAAAAGAGAAAUGAGGGGUUAGGCAACCUCCUGGAGCACCAAUGGGACAAGCACAUAUUCAGGGGCCUCCUAACAGACUCGACUUCCAGCAUCCUCAGAUGGUGCUAGACACGUUACAUAGACGUUCAAGAGUAGAGAACUCAGGGACUUCUGAUUUAUAUCAAGAAAUGCAUACACAGCAGACGUGUGCCUGUGGAGUGGAAUUCUGGAAAAGCUCACAGCCCAGAACAUAAUGCAGACUCCCCCAGCCACAGCACCUUCCAAACCUGAGAAGAGUGCUGAUUCUCCAUCUGAGCACCCAUUCUCCUGCAACAUCAGGGGAGAGGAUUUCACCUAAGGGUCAGACCAGCAUCUCCAAACCCAGCUCCCCACCUUUGCCUGUUGGUGGCACUUGUGGGAGAAGGGGAGAUGGUAUGAAAAGAGCCACAACAGGAGUCACCUGGACAGGGUGGAGCUUGAUGGAAACUGACAUUUGUGCCCAUUGGAGGCAAAUGUAGAAUUUGGUAUCUUCCGUAGCGUCAGGCACAUGAAACUCUCCAGUGCCCAUGACUUUUGACAGUGACUUCAGAGCACAUCUGGGAGACCCAUGUGGCCCAGGCUCCACACAGGCAGGAGCUCAGCUUCACUCACAGCAGGAUUCCUAGUGCCAAGAACACCAUAGGUGCAUAGCAGGUGAUCAAAAUAAUUGUAUGUGGCUGAAUCAGUGAGAGGUAAGAGAGAGGACUUGAUCCUAGCUGCAAACUAAGAGACCUCAUUAAAACCUAACAUGUGGCUGGGUGUGGUGGCUCACGCCUGUAAGCCCAGCACUUUGGGAGGCCGAGGGGUGGAUCACCUGAGGUCAGGAGUUCAAGACAAGCCUGGCCAACGUGGUGAAAACCCAUCUCUACUAAAUAUACAAAAAAUUGGCUGGGCAUGGUGGCAGGUGCCUGUAAUCCCAGCUACUUGGGAGGCUGAGGCAGGAGAAUCACUUGAACCCAGGAGGCGGAGGUUGCAGUGAGCCGAGAUUGCACCACUAUACUCCAGCCUGGCAAUAAGAGCAAAAGUCCGUCUCAAAACAAAAAACGAAAAAACAAAAAACACCUAACAUGUGAGGCCCAGCAUGGUGGCUCAGACCUGUAAUCCCAGGAUUCUGGGAGGCUGAGGCUGGAAGAUUGCUUGAGCCCAGGAGUUCAAGACCAACCUGGGCAACAUAGCGAGACCCUGUCUCUGGGAAAAAAAAAAUUACCUGGGCAUAGUUACAGUCCUAGCUACUCGGGAGGCUGAGGCAGGAGGAUUGCUGGAGCCCAGGAGUUUGAGGUUACAGUGAGCUAUGAUUGCACCACUGUAUUCCAGCCUGGGCAAUGGAGCGACACCCUGUCUGUCUUCAAAAACUAUAUAUAUAUGGUGUAUGUGUGUGUAUGUAUGUGUAUGAUAUCAGAAAAAAAUAACCUAUUCAUGGUGGGGGAAAAAAGAGCCUGACUUUUGAGGUGUAUAAGCGUGGAGUCGGGUUCAAAUCAGGCUCUGAUCUUUCUGGCUCUGUGAUAUGGGGCAGGGCAUAUUACCAAGCUCAGCCUCAGCAUCUCUACCUGUGAAAUGGGCUUGAUUCAGUACACCACACAGGGCUGCUGUAGUAUGUAUGAAUUAAUGUUUGUGAAAUAUUUAGCAUGGUGCCUGACACAUGGUACUCAGUAAGAAACAACUAUUGCUAUUAAGUGCUUUGCACUUUGGUUUUCACAGAGCUAACAAUUUUUACUGUCUAGCUUUGUGUCUUUGAAAGAUUUUUGAGCUCUGAGAAUGACCUUUUAAGACCUCAGCACUUCUAGAAGAGGUCACACUUUGAGCUUCAAUAGCUAGCAUUUUUGUCAAUUAGUUAACAGUGUGCUGAAAGCAAGUCCCUGUAGAGAGUGUUCACGGGCAUGAGCCACAGGGAAUACAAUGUGAGGCCUGUGGAGGUGGCAGCUGAGGAUGUCAACAGGGAAAGCACAGAGUACCAAAGACAAAAGUUGCCCAGGACAGUUCUGUGUUAGCUACCUGGUGGCAGCCUGGACACCCAAAGAUAGAGCUGAAGACACCUCUAAUACAAGAGGCGGAUGCCCCGGAGACGUGGCUGAUUCCUUGGCUAAUUUCCUCAGCCCCACCGUUGUGCAGCUUUGUGACUUCCUGGAGAGCCUACAUGCAAACAGAAAAGUCCCAGGAUAAAGAAAUGUGGAUAUUCCACACAUUUUAAAAAGACCUGGAGGGAUGAAGAGGACAAGCUGUCCCAGUAGGCCCCGGACUGCCCUGGUUUUAACACUAAAUGUCCGACAUCCUGAUAACCCUUACUCCCAGGCAAAUCAGGCCAGUUGGUCAUCUAAUUGGAGGUUAUCAAAGGAGGUGGGUUUUAGCAUCCUCUUUCCUUUCCUGUUACAUUGAGACCAUGGGGUGCUAUUGAAUAAACUUGAUUCGGUUUCUUCAAAAAAAGCCAGAAAUUGAUCUAAUAGGUUUUGCUCAUAUUUGGUAAUUGAAUUGGACUGUAUACAGUCUGCACGUUUACCUUAUUUUCCAUUAUAUAAUGGUACCAAAUAUCACAAUGAUUUUCAAAAAUUAAUGCUUUUAGUGAUGGAUUACUAGGUGUUGAAAUGCUUUAUAAUAUACUUAUGAAAACAUUUAUACAAAUAAUUUCAUCCUCCACAUGACAUUUAGAAAAGUUUAGUCUGGCUGGGUACAGUGGCUCACUCCUGUAAUCCCAGCACUUUGGGAGGCCAAGGCAGGUGGAUCACCUUAGGUUAGGAGUUCGAGACCAGCCUGGCCAACAUGGUGAAACCCCGUCUCUACUAAAAAUACAAAAAAUAGCCCAGUGUGGUGGCGCACACAUGUAGUCCUAGCUACUUGGUAGGCUGAGGCAGCAGAAUCACUUGAAUCUGGGAGGCAGAGGUUGCAGUGACCCAAGAUCACGCCACUGCAUUCCAGCCCAGGAGACAGGGUGAGACUCUGUUUCAAAAAGAAAGAAAAGAGAAGAGAAAAGAUGAAAAGGAAAUGUUUAGUUUGAAAUUCCGUUACCGAAAGUUCUCGGGGGUUGGGGGAGGUGGGAGGCAAUAUCUUUUUGCUAUUAUAUUUCUUAUAGUGCAGUGUCAGUGAAACUAUGUCAUCCUUUGUAAAAUCA
ensembl:lncRNA novel transcript